rnacentral:lncRNA from 1 species
GUUUCUCCCGUGAAGAUAGUAGAGAUUCCCUUUGCAAGUGUCCUUCAAAACAAUUAGAGCACCACGAAUAACCUUCAAAACUCCACCUUCUAAGAUAAUCUUAUACCUCUUUGAAUUAAAAUCUCCUAAUAAAAUGAGAUUCUUCUUCAGAUGUGGUACAUAGCAAACAUCCGUAAGAACCUUGAUAGUUUCAUUGUACCUCUU